CCGCGGCCACCGCCUCUAAUCCGCCCUUAAGUAGUCUCCGCCUGCGUCACGCCAGGUCGGCGGAGGGGAGCAGAGCGCGGCGUGCCGCUGUCGCCGAGCGUCGGAGCCCGAGGGGCCGCGGCCGCGCGCCGCGGGGGGGAGGAGACGGUCUGGAGUCCCCCGCUGCGCAGGGGAUGGGGAGACGGAGGACUGCAGCGCCCCUUGGGGCUUCUGAUGCGCCCAGGUAAUCUCACCUGGCCGCCAGCCUCCCGCAGGAGGAACAGACACGCUGGUUCCACACCGAGCCUGUUAACAGCUCGACUUCCAAUAUUUGGGCCAUGUGUGUAUUAAUGAAAUGAUUGCAUCCGAUUACAUCUUUUAUUCAGAGCACAAGAAUGGCCCAUGAAUUCCGUCCUCCAGCAUUACUGCUUUUGUGGUGAAGUCACUAAUUAAGUUUACUCCGUUUCAGGCAGAGGUGGGAUCGCUGUUCACUAAGGUUUUAUGAGCCAACUUGGUUACUCAAAUGUGAAAAUGCAUUUUUUUUUCAAUCCUCUCUUUCCCAUUAUGUGUUCAGCUCUACACCCUGGAUGCUUAUCUUUACUGGUGACUUCUCUGAGACUGCACUCAGUUUUGACCUAUAUGAUGUCCUAGCAAGUUUAAAGG